CCUACGGGAGGCAGCAGUGGGGAAUUUUGCGCAAUGGGGGCAACCCUGACGCAGCAACGCCGCGUGAGUGAUGAAGGCCUUCGGGUCGUAAAGCUCUGUCAGAGGGGAAGAAAUGCAGGUGGUGAACAACCAUUCUGUUUGACGGUACCCUCAAAGGAAGCACCGGCUAACUCCGUGCCAGCAGCCGCGGUAAUACGGAGGGUGCGAGCGUUGUUCGGAAUUAUUGGGCGUAAAGCGCGUGUAGGCGGUUUGUUAAGUCGGAGGUGAAAGCCCCGGGCCCAACCGGGGAAGUGCAUUGGAUACUGGCAGACUUGAGUACGGGAGAGGAGAGGGAAAUUCCAGGUGUAGGAGUGAAAUCCGUAGAUAUUGGGAGGACCACCGGUGGCGAAGGCGGCUCUCUGGACCGAUACUGACGCUGAGACGCGAAAGCGUGGGGAGCGAACAGGAUUAGAUCCCCCUGUAGU
rnacentral:rRNA from 1 species